UACGGAGGGGGCUAGCGUUGUCCGGAGUCACUGGGCGUAAAGCGCGCGUAGGCGGCCUGUUAAGUUGGGUGUGAAAGCCCGGGGCUCAACCCCGGAUGCGCAUCCGAGACUGGCAGGCUAGAGUCCGGGAGAGGGCGGCGGAAUUCCCAGUGUAGAGGUGAAAUUCGUAGAUAUUGGGAAGAACACCGGUGGCGAAGGCGGCCGCCUGGUCCGGAACUGACGCUGAGGCGCGAAAGCGUGGGGAGCAAACAGG
rnacentral:ncRNA from 2 species